AUUGAACGCUGGCGGCAGGCUUAACACAUGCAAGUCGAGCGAGCGGCGGACGGGUGAGUAAUGUCUGGGAAACUGCCUGAUGGAGGGGGAUAACUACUGGAAACGGUAGCUAAUACCGCAUACCAUCAGAUGUGCCCAGAUGGGAUUAGCUAGUAGGUGGGGUAAUGGCUCACCUAGGCGACGAUCCCUAGCUGGUCUGAGAGGAUGACCAGCCACACUGGGAAUGGGACACGGGCCAGACACCUCCGGGGGGCAGAAGUGGGGAAUAUAUCGCAAGAGGGGCAAGCGUGAGGCAGACAUGCCGCGUGUGUGAAGAAGGCCUUCGGGUUGUAAAGCACUUUCAGCGAGGAGGCGUUACUCGCAGAAGAAGCACCGGCUAACUCCGUGCCAGCAGCCGCGGUAAUUC
rnacentral:rRNA from 1 species